GUCUACAGCCAUACCACCCUGAACGCGCCCGAUCUCGUCUGAUCUCGGAAGCUAAGCAGGGUCGGGCCUGGUUAGUACUUGGAUGGGAGACUUACGUGAUUAUGGAGGCUGGGAAGU
rnacentral:rRNA from 1 species